UACGUAGGGUCCGAGCGUUGUCCGGAAUUACUGGGCGUAAAGAGCUCGUAGGCGGCUUGUCACGUCUGCUGUGAAAACUCGGGGCUCAACCCCGAGCCUGCAGUGGAUACGGGCUAGCUAGAGUGCGGUAGGGGAGACUGGAAUUCCUGGUGUAGCGGUGAAAUGCGCAGAUAUCAGGAGGAACGCCGGUGGCGAAGGCGGGUCUCUGGACCGAUACUGACGCUGAGGAGCGAAAGCGUGGGGAGCGAACAGG
rnacentral:rRNA from 1 species